UCCCCAUCCCCUUUCUUUGUCCUCUCCUCUUUUUUGAUAAACCCUAGUCGCCGCCUCUCCUUCUCUCUCUCUCUCUCUCUCUCUCUCUCUCUCUCUCUCUCUCUCUCUCUCUCUCUCUCUCUCUCUCUCUCUCUCUCUCUCUCUCUCUCUCUCUCUCCAUGCCAGAAAUGGCAAAUCUGCAGAAUAUAGCAGUUGCAUGCAGCUUUAUUGUGUCUAUUUUGAUAAAAGCAUUUAAUAUGGCACUCGAAUUCGUGAUUUUAAAUCACAAACAUGAGUAUCAGGUUGGGUCUACUUCCAUCCCCCGUGGCUGACCGUCAUCUUCAGCAUUAGCGCCGAGUCUUCUAGAUGGUGAGGACUCGCGCUACUACAACCCGCGGUCAGGUGCCAGAUCCCGCAACUAUGGCUGACACCAGAGGGCGAGCGACAGCCAGAGGGCGCAGCAGAGUGAGAAGCCGCGGAGCUGCCUCUGCUAGAGGCAGGGCUUCUGUGGUAGGGCAGCGGCGAGAGAGGUCUCCGUCUCCCGAGCUCGAGUAUCAGCCGGAUCGAGGCCAGGCCGCAGAUGCUGGUGUGGCCCCAGCACGGACACAGCCUGAGGUUACUUCUGAUCAGGCCAUUCAUGACACUAUGGCUAGAGUCUUACUACAUCUUGAUGCCCAGCAAGCGGCAGCUGGUGUUACUACCCCGACGGGGGUUCACAGACCAGAGUUGGGGCACAGACCCCUUAGUAGGGACCUAUGCGGGUAGCACAUCCCGCCGCAGCUAUGGCACCUCGUAUUGAUGCGAUACCUACUCCUAGUGAUGAUAUUAGGCCCAUGGAGGGCGCUAUUAUGAUUGCAUCUGAUCAGGACCUUGUUGGGAGAUUAGGGAAGUUAGAGUCACCGAGCUUUUAUGGUACUUCGUCUGAGGAUGCUUAUGAGUUUAUUCUUGAUAUGCAUGAGUUGCUGCACCAGAUAGGGAUCGUGGAGACCCACGGGGUUGAUUAUGUGUCCUACCAGUUUCGCAGCGACGCGAAGAUAUGGUGGAGGUAUUUCGUGGCUUGCAGACCUGAGGGUUCCCCUCCCUUGACUUGGAUUCAGUUUUACCGUGCCUUCUUUGAGAAUUAAGUGCCCAGUCUUUGCGAGAGGCGCGUAGGGAGGAGUUUUUACAUCUUGAGCAGAGAGACAUGUCUUUGGAGUCCUAUGUGACCCGCUUUCUAUAUCUGGCUCGCUAUUUUACUCCUUUAAUCCCUACUGAGGCCGAUAGGAUCAUGCAAUUUGUUGGGGGACUAGUGGGCUCUCUACAUAAUUCUUGUCCUCAGAUGGAGUCUAUGGGGGCUUCCUUCCAGUCCAUUAUCGAGCAUGCUUCUAUGGUUGAGAGCGCUAAGGCCCGUGCUUUUGGUGGUAGUGACAAGAGGCCACGUCAGACUGAGAGUUAUGGUGGUUCUAGUUCGAGGGACGCCGGUCAGUUUUCGAGGCCGGAUCAGCCAUAUUCCAGCCGUCCCAUGCAUUUAGCGUUACAGGCUUCUCCCAGCGAGCCACCUAGGCAGAGAUCUCCUGAGAGUUCGUUCUCCAGACCAGUGGAUGGGGCUGCUUCAUCCGGGUCUUCAGCUUCUGUGUAUCAGCAUUCAUCUCCUAUUACCUGUUUAUCUUGUGGAGAGGUUGGGCAUGUUUCCAGGAUAUGUCCCCGACCCAGGCAGGAUUAUCAGCCAUCUAGGACUCCGAUAUCAUCUGGUGGUCGAGGUGGGGCUUCUCAGAAGGGCGACGCUUAGUCAGGCCGCAGUGCUUCUCAUAGUUCUAGAGGUGGUUCCCAGCCAGCUAGAGGUGGUUCUGAGAGCACGAGAGGGGGAUCUCAGGGCGGGCGUGUUGGAGCCUAUUGUUACUCAUUUCUUGGUAGGCCCGAGGCAGAGGCCUCAGAUGCUAUGAUUUGAGCUACCAUUUCUUUUCGUUAUAGAGCAGCAUCUGUGUUAUUUGAUCUUGGAUCCACCUAUUCGUAUGUAUCUACAUUUCAUGCCGUUGGUUGAGAUUUGCCUUAUGAUAGCAUAGGUAUACCUGUUCAUGUGUCUACUCCGAUCGGAGAUUCUGUGAUUGUUGAUCGAGUCUACUGGUCUUGUUUGGUUACUUUUAUGGGGUAUUACACUUGGGUAGAUUUGAUGAUUCUCGAUAUGGUUGACUUUGAUAUUAUAUUGGCGAUGUCCUGGCUUUCUCCUUAUCACACGAUCUUGGACUGUCAUGCCAAGACAAUCACCUUAGCCAUGCCGGGCAUUCCUAGGCUUGAAUGGAGGGGUACUCCUAGUCCCGCUCUGAAGAAGAUCAUUUCCUUCCUUCACGCGAAGAAGUUGGUAAGUAAAGGGUGUCUAGCUUAUUUGGCUCAUGUUAGUGAUAUGACAGUUGCAUCUCCACCCCUUGAGUCUAUUCCUAUUGUGAGCGAGUUCGCGGAGGUAUUACAGUCGGAUCUACUGGGUAUGCCACCUGAUUGCGACAUUAAUUUCUGUAUUGACUUGGAUCCGGACACUCGUCCUAUUUCUAUUCCACCAUGUCGGAUGGCACCAACUGAGUUGAGAGAGCUUAAGGAACAGUUACAGGAUUUGUUGAGCAAGGGGUUCAUUAGACCGAGCGUCUCCUCUUGGGGUGCUCCUGUGUUAUUCGUGUAGAAGAAAGAUGGGACUAUGAGGAUGUUCACAGAUUAUCUCCAGCUAAACAAGGUCACUAUUCAGAACAAGUGUCCUAUGCCUCGUAUUGAUGAUCUGUUCGACUAGCUCCAGGGUGCUUCGGUGUUUUUGAAUAUUGAUUUGCGUUCUGGCUAUCACCAAUUGAAGAUCAGGGCGGAGGAUAUGCCGAAGACAGCAUUUCGGAUGAGAUAUGACCACUAUGAGUUUUUAGUGAUGUGAUUUGGGCUUACCAAUGCCCCGGCUGCAUUUAUGACUUUGAUGAAUGGCAUCUUUAGGCCAUUCCUUGAUUCCUUCGUGAUUUUGUUUAUUGAUGACGUCUUGGGGUAUUCCAAGAGUAGGGAGGAGCACGAGAGCCAUCUUCGUUCUAUUCUUGGGUUGUUGAAGAAACAUAGCCUGUUUGCUAAGUUUUCUAAGUGUGAGUUCUGGUUGGAGUCUAGCAUUCUUGGGCCAUGUUAUGACUAAGGUUGGGAUUAUGGUUGACCCAUAGAAGAUUAAGGCUGUGAGGGGUUAGGCGAGGCCCACUACUGUUACUGAGAUUCGUAGUUUUGUGGGUUUGGCCAGCUAUUACCGUCGCUUUGUGAAGGGCUUUGCUGCUAUUGCUUCAUCUUUGACCAGAUUGACUCAGAAGGAUGUUCCCUUCUAGUGGACAGAUGAUUGUGGGGAGAGCUUUCAAAAGCUCAAGCUACUUUUGACUACAGCCCCGAUCUUAGCAUUACCCGUUGAGGGUAUGGACUUCGCGGUCUAUUGUGAUGCCUCCUAUAUGGACUUGGGUGUUGUGUUGAUGCAGGUGGGUAGAGUGAUAGCUUACACUUCCCAUCAAUUGAAAGUUCAUGAGAAGAAUUACCCUACCCAUGAAUUGGAGUUGUUGGUCGUGGUCACUUUGAAGAUUUGGAGGCGUUAUUUGUACGGUGUUCAUUGUGAGGUUUUCACCGAUCACUAUAGUCUUCAGCAUGUGUUUACCCAGAGAGAUCUUUAUUCCAGGCAGCGCCGAUGGAUGGAGCUCUUGAAGGUCUAUGACAUCUCUAUUCUAUAUCAUCUCGGGAUAGCCAAUGUUGUGGCUGAUGCCUUGAGUCGCAAGACAGUGAGUAUGUGGAGUUUAGCUCGAUUGAUUGUUUCCGCGAGUCCGUUGGCCAUGGAGGUUCAGACUCUGGCCAACAAUUUCGUUCGCCUUGAUAUUUCUGCCCCUAGCAGGAUUUUGGCUUGUAUAGAGGCGAGGUCGUCUUUAUUAGAUCGGAUCAGGACUCAUCAGUUUGAGGAUGCUCAGUUGAGCAAGAUUCGAGAUAGAGUUUUGAGGGGUAAGGACAAGCAGGCCGUGAUUGAUUCUGAGGGCAUUUUGAUAAUUAGAGGACGCGUGUGCAUUUCUUGUGUUGGUGAUUUGAUUUAGCUGAUCUUAUCUGAGGCUCGUAGCUCUCGCUAUUCCAUUCCUUCGGGGAUGACUAAGAUGUACCGUGGUUUGAGACAACACUAUUGGUGGCGUCGGAUGAAGAGAGACAUAGUUGAUUUUGUGGCUAAGUGUGGGAAUUGUCAGCAGGUAAAGUAUGAGCACCAACGACCCGGUGGGGUGCCUCAGGGGAUGCCCAUUCCCGAGUGGAAGUGGGAGAGGAUUACCAGGGAUUUUUUCACGAGUCUUUCGAAGCCCCUUGGAAAGUUUGACUCUAUUUGAGUGAUAGUUGAUCGAUUGACUAAGUCCGCUCACUUUGUUCCAGUUCAGGUUUCCUAUACCGCGGAGAAGUUAGCCAAGAUGUACAUUCGGAUAUCGUGAGGUUGCAUGGGGUUCCUAUUUUUGUUGUAUCUUAUCGGGGUACUAUCUUCACUUUCCAUUUUUGGAGGGCUUUUCAUGACGAGUUGGGUACCUGAUUGGAUCUUAGUACAACCUUUCAUCCCCAGACCGAUGGCCAGUCCGAGCGGACCAUUCAGGUGCUCGAGGACAUGUUGAGAGUGUGUGUUAUUGUUUUUAGUGGUCAUUGGGAUUAGCACUUAACAUUGGUAGAGUUUUCAUACAAUAACAAUUAUUAUUCGAGUAUUGGCAUGACACCUUUUGAGGCUUUAUAUGGUAGGAGAUGUAGAUCUCCGAUUGGUUGGUUUGAUGGAUUCAAGGCUCUGCCUUGGAGUACAGAUUUUUUGAGAGUGUCCUUUGAUAGAGUGAGAGCUAUUUAGGCCAAGCUUUUAGUAGCUUAGAGUUAGCAAAAGAUGUAUGCGGACCGAAAGGUCCGGGAUUUGGAGUUUGCUAUUAGUGACCAGGUUCUAUUGAAGGUUUCAUCCAUGAAGGGUGUUCUGAGGUUCGGUAAGAGGGGCAAGUUGAGCCCCAGGUAUAUUGGUCCAUUUGAGAUUGUUAACCGUAUGGGUGAUAUAGCUUAUGAGUUGGCAUUGCCGCCAGGCUUGGCGGGAGUUCAUCCGGUUUUUCUUGUUUUGAUGCAGAAGAAGUACCAUUCCGACGAUACCUACAUUAUUCGUUGGGAUUCUAUAUUGCUUGAUGAAUUUGACUUACGAGAAGAAGCUUAUUGCGUUCUUGGAUAGGCAGGUUCGAAAGUUGAGGUCGAAAGAGAUUGCUUCUGUGAAGGUAUAAUGGAAGCACUUCCCUGUUGAGAAGGCUACAUGGGAGACCGAGUCCGACAGGCAUAGCCAAUAUCCUCAGUUGUUUACUGUUUCAGGUAUUUCUCGCUUCUUUCUUUUCUUCGCUCGAGGAUGAGCGACGGUUCAAUUGGUAUCUGAUGUAACGACCCGUCUGGUCGUUAUAGUCCUUUCGGUUUUUUUGCCCUUUUUCGACCAUUGAUUAGCUCACUUUUGACCUGAGGGGACUGCUGAUACGCUUCCCGAGGUGUCUAGAUCGGAUUCGGGCAACCUUUUGUAAAAUAUGGGCUUAAAGUGAAAAAAAGUUGACCCAAAGUUGACUUUUGGGUAAACGGACCAUUUUCGAAAAUUCGUCGAUUCCGAGAGGUUCGGAUGGUCGUUUAUGACUUGUGUGUAUAUCUGGUUUGGUUCCUAAUGCCCUCGGAUGCAUUUUGGGACUUGGGUUGGGAAAAUAGAUAUGAGGUAUGGGGGGUUGACUCUGUCAAUGAGACCUCCAUUGGGAAUUCUGAGGUCACGAGCGUGUUCGCAGCGUAUUUUUGUAUGGGUCUGCGUAUGUGGUUUGUGUGCAGAUGGCCUCGGGAAUGGCCCGGGAUUUCGAUUGACACUUAGAAAAAUUGGGGGAUUUCUGGUGCCUGGUGUCCGCAUUGGCGGCACCAGUGCCGUCCCAGCGGCACCGCUGUUACGACUGGUUGGCCCAAACCACCAUGGUGGUCUGUUGGGCACUGUAGCGGCCCCGUUACCAUCGUGUCGGUAACGGGCCUGUUAUUUCAUUAAGUGUGUUUUAAGUAAGCCCUUAGUCUAUCAUUUACCACCAUUUCGAAAUUAGAGCUUUGGGGACUGUUCUUGGAGAUAUUUGGAGAAAACUCUUGGAGACUACUUUGGUUCUGAGGCUCAGCGGAAAGGCAAGGCAAAGGAGUGAGUUGUUGGUGUUUGCGGUUCGGCCAUCCAGAGAAUCAGGUUGGGUCUACUUCCAUCCCCCGUGGCUGACUGUCGUCUUCAGCAUUAGCACCGAGUCUUCUGGGUGAGCACGACCCUUCGCUGCCUUGAAGACUUCUCUGUCUUAUUUAUGCCCUAUUGCUAUUCAGAGACAUAGACAUUUUAUGUAUUUAUUACUCCAGGCUUGUAUUAUUUCCUUUUAGAUGCCCUUGUGAGAAUUAGAUUAGACCCUGGGGGUAUUAUUAUUGUUCCACACUAUCUUUACUAUAUAUGUAUCUAUCGUGAGACUUACG